AAUAGUGUGCUUGAAAAAAGGCCGUCUUGAUAGGGCGGAUAAUGCGAAAUCUUCGUCACUAUUA
rnacentral:tRNA from 1 species